rnacentral:piRNA from 1 species
UGCUGACUUCACUAGAGCGACAGACUGCAGU